rnacentral:rRNA from 1 species
UCUUACGCAAACCGCGACCCC